rnacentral:rRNA from 1 species
GAUGAACGCUGGCGGCGUGCCUAAUACAUGCAAGUCGAGCGAACGGACGAGAAGCUUGCUUCUCUGAUGUUAGCGGCGGACGGGUGAGUAACACGUGGAUAACCUACCUAUAAGACUGGGAUAACUUCGGGAAACCGGAGCUAAUACCGGAUGAUAUUUUGAACCGCAUGGUUCAAAAGUGAAAGACGGUCUUGCUGUCACUUAUAGAUGGAUCCGCGCUGCAUUAGCUAGUUGGUAAGGUAACGGCCUACCACGGCAACGAUGCAUAGCCGACCUGAGAGAGUGAUCGGCCACCCUGGAACUGGACCACGGACCAGGCUCCUACGGGAGGCAGCAGUAGGGAAUCGUCCGCAAUGGGCGAAAGCCUGGCGGAACAGCGCGGCGUGAGUGAUGAAGGUCUUCGGAUCGUAAAACCCGGCUAUUAGGGAAGAACAUAUGUGUAAGGUAAUGUGGACAUCGUGACGGUACCUAGUCAGAAAGCCACGGCUAACUACGUG